AAAUUUUCAAGAAAGCAUCAGAGGAGCAUAAAAAUGAAGGAGAACUUCUCGGCGAGAGGAAAUCCUUUAAAAAUUACCAGGAGAUAAAUUCCCUGUGUCCGGUGUUCAUUAAGUUGAAAUGUAAUGCCGAUGAGGAAAUUCCACAUCCGAGAGAAUUAGGGUACGUCGAAUCCACAAUAUUCUGAUAAAAAAUAGAUAGUGGAUUGGAAUUUGGAAGAAACUUAAGAACCGGAACCUGUGAGGCGGGACAUAAAGCACCGGUAACGUACACCCAGCGCUUCAUAUCCUUGAAAAGCCCAAGGCCUCCAUAACAGGAAUUCUGCCGCAUACAUGGCAGACAUACACCGCAGAGGAAAACGAGGAAGGUGGGAUGUUUUCAGGGCACAGUGGUGAAUACACUAACAACGAGGUCUCCCCUUCCACUGGUAAGAUGGUUUUGAUACAAAAAAGGAUGCAAUCCUCUCGGGGAUAAAGCAUUGCAUGAGUGAUUUAUGAGAUGAUCUUGGAGGGGGAGCAAAUGAUAGAGAUGUGAUAUUACGAUGAUGACACAUGCACAGAGUUUCUACGGCCAUUCGUUUUGCGAUGAAGAGAAGGACCCGGCCAUUACACCGAAGAAAAUUUGUAAAUACCAACACGAGAGAAAUUUAUUAUUAUUUUUUUUUUUUACGGAAUGCUUCCGUAAUUUUGACGGAAUAUUUCUCUCGGAGUGGCCAAUUCUCUCAGGCGGUCUACAAUUGGUCGAUUCGCUCAGAUAACUUUGAGCGCGUAAUGCAGAUAAUUUACAAAAUUGAACGUAUUAGAUGGCCCAGUGUAAGUCAAUUCUGAAGCAAUUAACUGAGACAACACCAAUUACUCGUCGUCUAUGUAGGGUAGUUAGCGUCCAAGAGUUUUGUUUAGUAGGCCCAUCCUCUCGAAAAGCGAUACAAAGAGGCAAAACUGGAGGGUGAGACGAUGUCGUGACAAGAGUGGGAAACACGAGAGGUGGAAUGUUUGGCAAUUAACAAAGGGUAAUAAUUAACGUGGCACCAUGGGGUAAAGCGUAUUGGCAAGCAACACAACCUCAACACAUAUCUAGCCUGAUUUAGGAGGUUAAAUUGACCAGGUAAAUUUUCGAUUAACUUGAAAUUGGAAUUGAGGGGUGAAAAAUUGGGGCAUUGAUAUUCUGAGCCUUUUUCGUUACCCUUCGGAAUGAAUCAAUGGCGCUGAUUAAUGACUUUACACUCCUUUUGGGACAUUUUCUCUCAUCCUUUUUCCACCGUGAAUUACGUGGGUUGUGAAUAAAUCGCACAACUGCGGAAUAGGCUUUGCAAUUAAUUAUUGCAUGUUUUCACAUAUUAUAUAAUUUUUUUGACAUUUAUUUUAUAUUAUAUAAUUCUGAAAAUUUAAAUUUAACAAAUACAUAUCUAUAUUUCAAUAUGUAUAGUACAUGUUUUUUUUUUAAUGAAAAUCACCGAUCAUCAAUCAUGGCUUUCAAAAUCCCAUGAUUAUUUCGCCCUCGCAAAAUCAAAAUCAUCUGCCAAAAUGUUGAAUAAAGAGAAAAUAGAUCUCGAAAUGAAAAUUUAAAGGGAAAUAUUUCCGAAUUUAAAUCCAUUCCAGAAAUAUUCGGAAUUUUGAUAUGUGGGUGAAUAAAUAUCAAAUAAAUUGCGGGCAAUGUAACUCGUACCUAUUGCGAUCAUCAAAAAUCUUAUGAGGUUGAAAAGAGUAAUUAUUCAAUCCAAAUGGAUGAUAAAUUUCAGUCGGAGCAUGAUAAUUAGUAUUCCCGUGAUGUUGAAUGGUUUUCAGGAAUAAUGGAAAGUCUCUCGCGGUUUUUUUCGGCUCGACACGUGUCAUUUCCAGAGCCCGUUAAACUCAACAUAUAAUUCACAUCGGAAUGGUACAUGCGGGUGGAACAAACCCGCUAAUAUUUAACGACAGUUUAAUGGGGUACAACCACGCUGAAGAAGCAACAACACUCACUUGAUGGUGAAAUUUAGAGUAGGGUGCGCCAAAGCUAAAUUAAGGGUGGGUUUUACGGUUCUCCAUCUCAGUUCUUCCCACAGUAAUCAUCAUUAUUUCUAUCCUCCAUCUAGAAUAUACCAGAGUAUACUUCAGAGUAUACAGAGUAUACUUCAUCGAAAUUUAUUUUGCGGGAAUUUUGCAAUCGAUUAUUUCAUUGCAUAACUCUAACUCGUAUUCGAUUGAAUAAUUGAUUAAAGUUGAUUAAAGUUGAUUAAAGUAAAUUAAACUAAAUCAGCAACACGAUUUCCAACUGCAAAAAUUCCCGUUAGUCUAUCCGGGAAUUUUUGUUUUACGACCGGAGGCUUGUCCCCCAGUUGUCCACCGGGGAUUCGCACAAAUAGUUGUGGAACAGGUGCGCUAACGUCCGGUUCGUUUACCACGGCGCUUAAUGGCGAGAGCCACGGAAAAGCCAUAACCACAAAUCCCUGAAGAUUGACUUUACCCCUUUUGUUGGGCGAAUGUAACGGGACCAUUACUACUUCUACCAUUCAAAAUUUUUCCCUCAAUUCAAAAAAUUCCCCCGAAAUCCUAGUCCAUUUUUCAUGCAAGUUUCAACUAAUUACUCAUUCAAUUAUUCAAGUGGAACAAUAAAUUAAA